UUACAGAGAAACAGAGUCUCAUCCUGACUUCAGCUCUGAAAUCAAACCCGUCACACCUGAGAGAGCUGGACCUGAGCGAGAAUAAAUUAGGAAACUCAGGAGUGAAGCACUUAUGUGCCGUACUGAAGGAUUCACACUGUAAACUGGAGAGAUUGAGGUUAAUCUGCUGUGAUAUGACAGAUGUUUCUUCUUUAACUCAGUCUUUGACUAACUCAAAAGCUCUGCAGUUUUUAAAAGAGCUUGAUCUGAGAGAGAAUAAGAUCGGAGACUCAAAGCAGCGGCUCAGAGACGAGCUACGAGACUCAAACUGUGACCUGAGGUUUACUUCUGCAAUUCCUCGGAGGACGGAUGCUGGGACAACCGGACUUCAUGAUUGUUAGAACUUAACCUGAGAUUCGGGAGAUGGGUGAAAAGACAAUUCAAGACGCCUUUACAUCUCACAAUAGCACAUCACUACAUUAGAUGGCCUCCCAGUUUAGAACUGGAACUAAAAUUUGCAACACAAUUGUUAUACAGUAGAAUUCCACCCAUCUCCUAGACAUGAACACUGACUGAACACACUCCUCCAACACUACACACUCACAGCAUCAUCACCCGGAAUAGAUCAAAUCUAUCCAGACUGAACACACAUCAUAAGAAGAUGAAAAUGACAUAGAGUCUAAUAGUGUCACUUCACUAAAGAUAUAUUGUGCAUCUUCACACUUACAGAUCCGGAUAGCUUCACACAUAUAGGAUGGGAAGCUGAUCCCAUGACAUAGCACACGCUGUUCACACACACACACACACACACACACACACUCACUCUCUCUCUCUUUUUCUCUCACAAAAACGCUCAAACUCGCACACAGACACACUCACACCCUCACACAAACACACACUCUCACACCUGUUGCAAGGACUGAACAAUCUCCAUUCUUGAAUACAUUUAAGAAUGUUCCAAGUCACUUCCUAGAUUUGCAUAAGUGGCUUGCAUUGGAAGAUUCCUUAACAAACACUGAUUAUUAUAUACAUAUUCAUUUAUUAAACGUCGAUUGUUUUUAUUACAUGACUUCUUGUCAGAGAAUCUAUUUGAUUGUUUUGAGUACACUGACCUCUUGCUGCAUUUCCUUUUUAGAAUUCAGACCAAAAAAUAUAUUUAAGAAUUGGAUAUUUAAUAUGAGACAUCCUUACCAUUCAAUACUCUGAGAAAAAUAUGAGCACACUUGCUGAAAAGAACAUGAUAUUUUACAUUGAACAUGACAUGGUUUUGUUUCGUUGUAUUAUGAGUUUCUAUGCAUUUCUUCGUGAGUUCAAGUACAUAUGUGUUUCAUUCGCGAAGCGGACAUUUAAGAUGCUUUUCAGACGCCUCACAGAGUGAGAUAUAUCCAGCUGCAGACCCGCAGCACCACCAGUUUCAGAACCCCAGCGCCAGAACCGGAAGUGAAGAGUUCCGGAAGUGAGAGUUAUUGACGAUGAGACAAGCAUGGCGGAGAGCACGGAAAAGAGGAGAUGACAGGAGAAGUACAGUUUGGAACAGAAAUGAAAGAUCAUUUCAACAAGAUUGAUCACCAGGUCUCCCAUGUUUCUCUGUGAAGAUUUCUCAGCACUUUUUAAAACAAGUCUGGACAAGACUCCAGAGGACAGACAGACCAGAGAAGGAGAGGAUCCUUGUGGCAUCUGAAGAUGAUGUUGUGUUGGAGGAAGUGACUGUUUUGAGAGAUGCUCCAGACUUGCAGUCUGCACUUGCAAACCUGUUGGGCCUUCUUUUUGUCUUGGACUUUGAAUACCCAAAAGAACUGAAAGACACUUUGAGAAGGUGUUCAUGGAGAGUUCGGCUCAUUGCUCUGCUACGAGAGACAGGAGACGUUCCUGGUCUGGGACAUUCAGCAGUGCAAAUGGCAUGGUUUUGGAGAAGCAUCUAUUAUAUAUUUGGGCUCUUGAAGAAUUGCUUGUUUGUGUGGCAACUUUCAUGGUGUUUGUUGGAGGGAUGCAAUGAGAGCCCAUUCUUGUGAAGAGGUCGAGCAAAUCCUCUUCAUCACUUCAUUCCUCCAGUGUGUCUUGACCAGCCUUUGCAACCGCAGAUCGUUCAGUCGAAGAGAGGGAGUUGUGGAAAGAUGACAUCAUGACAUCAUCACCGACUGAGUCAAUGCUAAAAUGAAAGCACUGGAAAGCGUCACUGGCAGAACACCGAAGUCAAGUCAUCCUUUCACCAGAUCCUUCAACUGACUCCCAUUCAGCGUCAGAGAAGUCUGGUCUCAGUCUAGGACACACUCAUCUUCCCCUUCACACUGUUCAAGGAACUGAUCCCAGAAUGCAGUGUGAACUUCUCUGGACACUCCAGCAUCAUCUCCAGCAUCUCAUUUACACACUUCAUCUUCAGAGUAGAUUGAAUUAUAACAGCCAAAAGAUCUUCCACAACCUUUACCCUGUGUAUUAAAGCACAUGAUGUGGAUCUGCUGAGUUUCCAGAUCAAAUAGUUGGAGAAAGAUGGUUUCUUGAAUGUGACACAAAUCUUCUGUAGCUGAAGGGAUUUCCCAUCUAGAAAAAGGGGGAAAACCAUUCAGAACUAUUAUUUGUAAUAUUCAAUUAUUAUUUAUAAUAUUUAUAUUGUAAAAUUUUCAAACAAUUAUUUCAGUUAAUCUGAACAAGAUUUUAUUUUGUGUCACUGUAAAGUGAGACAUUUAUAUAUAAUUACAAAAAAUACAAAGUAAUCAACUUUUAAAGUAAACAGUAUCAAAAUUAUAAUUACACUUGUUCUCAAAGGCUUUGGCACAAAAUAGACUUAACACUCUCUAAACUGUAAUUAUAAUUGUCAUAACUGUUUGCUGGACCGUCAGAUCUCUACAGUUUAUUGCAUGUCUGCAAAUGUUGUUACUCACCCAAAACAUCGCUUUGACUCAAUUCUCAAAUUAGACUUUUUCCCCUCAAAACAAUAAGUCGGCUUGUUCAUCAAAACUGAUAAUUGGUCACAUUUAUCGAGUGCUUUUCUGUGUUUAAAGCGCUCUACAUGGAAGAGGGGAAUCACCUCAAACACACCGAUGUGCAUCAUCACCUGAGUUCAGCUUUACAGAGACAAUAGGAGAUUACAGGAACACAGAUUGUGUUGGAUUUACAGCAGCGCUAGAAUAAAGUUAUUGUCCAGUUAAAGUUAGUAUUGAUUGAUCAUUAGUUAUUAACUUAGGGGGGCGCUAACACGACACCCUUAUAACAGAAACACCCAGCCGCUCAUUUGCAUAACAAGUAUCUGGUGUCUCUAAUACAAACCUUACAUUCAUUAAAAAACUAAAACAUGUAAAAAGUGUUUUUAUCAUUAUGUGAGCCACACUGGUCAAAAUGUUCAUAUGUUUUUUUUAUUUGUAAUAAAAAAUGAAUAACUGAAAAUAAAUAUUUUAUUAUAUACAAUAUAUACAUAUACUUCUAUCUAUUUGUUAUUGCUAUGUCAGUUUGGUAAAGGCCACGACUGAUCCAACUCCAGUGAAGUUCACUUAAUUUAUUACAAUUUAUUACAAUUUAGUUUCAAUACUUUAGCUCUACGCUUAAACUGAGUUUAGAUUGUGUUCCUUAUUAGAAAAUAAUCAUAAAUAUUUAUUAUGACUUAAUUUAUAUCUUUGAUUAUUCUGAGUGUCCAAUACUUUCAGUUAUUAAUUGAUUCUGGACCCAAUGCCACAUGGAGAUCCCGUCAGCCUGAUUGUGGAUCUCACGGACACACACUUGUCAGUUCUGGCUUUAGUCAGUGUGUGCAGGGUUGGCUAACACCUCUUAAAUCGGUCGCCGACUGCUCACUCGUACAGAAAAGUGUGUUUUAUUUAGACACUUCUGUACAACUUGCUAAAUCAGUGACAGAAAUCAAAAGCUCUUCAGAUUCAGACGUGCCAACCAUACAUGCGCCGUUCAUACAUCGCCUUUAGUUUGACCGAUCCUCACUAAGAUCUGUGUAGAUCACCAGCCUCCUAUAAUCUAAUACAAUAA